CCCAGUUCCUUCCGGCCAUGGGGUUUCGCCGCCCGCUCCCGCCGUACCGUAUACCCCCAUCCUACUCGCCUCAGGUGUUACCAUCACAUGAGCACACCACAGCGUUACAGAAGGAUUCCAUGGCUUCUAUGUAAUCAUUGGAUCCUCCUUCGUAUCAGCCUGUCUCCUGCGACUAACUACAUUCCACUUUACAUCAAACCACCAUUUUGGAUUUGAAGCAGCAGCCUGAUACCAACGUUUUGUAGACGUCAUCUGAUUAUUCCUCUACGUAACUAUCUAUUGGUGAGGAUCCUGCUCUUCUAGCAUAUUAAUUACAAUCAACUUACAAUCCUUAAAAUCUGGUGUAACCCCAGAGAAGAGCAAUUAACAUAAUCACAUUCAUACUCACCUUAUCCCUCAUUUUAUGUAUUCUCCUAACCACAUUAAACUACUGGCUCAUCAGGAAGCAUUGAUCACAGUAACAUCUUGCAAGUUCAGAAUAAAGGCCAGACCCACAAGAAGCUGGAGUUACCCCUUAAAAUAGGAUUACAGGAAAACUGGAUGUACCUCCUGGAAGAAAGAAAAGCGUUAAGUUGGUUUCCAAAGGGAGUAAAGCUUCUCCGACUGCACUUGACGUGUGGUUGUAUGCUUCUCACUCAUUUGAACUUCUGUGUUCCUCUUCCCUACCAGAACUUCAAUGCUUUGCAGCUGAUUCUAGUGAAAUUUGUCAAAGGUUUUAAGAAUCUCAAAGGUGAAGUUGCUAAGUAUCAAUUUCAGGAGUGUGGGUGUCCAAACUGGAGGAGACAAAUGCUCAGCUCUGCCUGAACCGAAGGAAAGGUUGCAAAGUGAAUUCAAGCAGUAUUAAAGGAAAAGCCACACAGAGGCAGUCUUUAUAGACAGCAUGACAAAACCUUCACAGUUUGCAAUCAACCACAAACCACAAAUCUGCGGGAGGCUGGACUUCAGUCAAAUAACUGCUUCUGUAAAGCCCUUGCCCGCUGCAGGGACUGUGUCCAACUGAAGUACAUGAAAAAUGGAACCAUCGUGAGCUGUUCCUGUUUCUGUCAGUACACAGGUCCAGCUCAAAAAGGAAAGAGAGGAAAGAGAAGGGGGAGAGGAAAAAGACGAGAGUCUUUGCCUCGAUCUGACAGGUAAGAGGAGUCCCACUUCUGUUACUUACUCCUUCAGGAUGUUUCUUCCCUAAUACAUUUACAAGUCCCAUAUGCCAGGGAAACAGACCAGUGUUGGGGCCAUAUCUGGGUUGUGUAUCUGCUAAGUUGUAAGAAAAGGGAUCUUACAACCAGCUCUACCAAAAACAUGUUUUAGAGGAAACCUUCAUUACAAGCAAGUGAGGUGAUAAGGGGGAAAUGCCCUCAUGUUUUCCAGUAGCAUCCAGCACAGUCUUAAAGCAAAUCCCUUAACUUGAUGUUAUUCAUAAAGGAGAAUUUUUCUUCCCAGCACACAUUAGUGUCCCUGGGAAGAAAGAAGGGUUUGUAAUCCGGCCUGGAGUCACUAGGUCUAUACUGUGCCUUUUGUGUACCCAGUGAGCUAUAUGGUCACCUUGGCAAGUGGUGAUGAAGCUGUGUGACCACUGACACCUUGUCUGGGCAGUCUCUUGUAGGAGUCUGUAGCUUUUUGUGCCACGCUGCUCCAGACAUAUCAGAGCUGAUUGCAUGAAUAAGGGGGCAAGGAAGGUAAGGAAAGGUUUUUAAAUCGGGACAUUUUCCUGCUACAGUCUAAACCAAGAGUAGUUAUCAAAUUAAUUCAUAAACACCACCAGCAACAAACAAUUGUUUGUUGCUUCCAGAUUAAACAGAAUUCAGACCAGUGAUCAAGAGGCAAAGGGUAUCUCACUCAUUAACAACCCUGUGAGCCAUCAGUUUCCCAAGAGCACUAGGUUUUUAUGGAAUGCCAG